AAAAAAAUGGCCAUUAAAUAAUCUCCAGCAUAACAGAAGAACAUUCAGACCAGCAAAACAGAAGAACAUUCAGAAACUACCCACGAAGCUCUGAAAACAUGAUUACAGCAAGAAGCACUAAAAGGCUAUGUCUAUGCUUCAGUGUCAUCAGCUUUAUAUCAGCUUAAUUCAAGUACCAGAAACAACCUCAUUGCCACAAUUUGGGAUUUCCUCAAGGAAAAGAAAACCUAAUGGGUAUCCUGUCCCAGUUGCCACAGCACUGCAACAGCACCCUUGAAGUCACUGCAGAACUGAAUUGGAGGCUCCUCGUCUUUAUUACUAAUUCAGACACAAUUUUUUGGCAGGAAAAUUUUAACAGACUUCACCAGUGAUUUUGCCUGGGAAAAAAAAAACCAAACAGCAAAUAAAGACUGAAGAAUCUCAACCACUUGCUGCCAAAGCAGAAGAGCCACAAAGGUGACAUUAUGAGUUACAUCUUAGCAGUGUCUUCUUCAAUGCAACUGCUAUGGUUGAAAGCCCUAAGUGCCACAGAUCAGCAAUCCUAUCCAUUUAGCCCUGCUGGCAAUAGCUGAAAAAUAGCCAUGGUGAAUACCUCAAACAAGAACAAUUAUGAUGCCUUCUGUGAGCUGGUUCAUCCAAGUCUUACCUAUACUGAAUAAUAAUUUAUUUCAGCUGGUUAUUUCAGGAGAAGUCCUGCUGACCACAGAAGCAGAGCUGGUACAUGCAGUGGGAUACAGUUGUGUCUGUAUGUGCAGCUCCUUGCACAGCACAGGGGCUGUAAUGAAAGACUUUGCUUUGCUAAAAGCCAAGUUAUUAAUAGCUGGAGGUGCACAUGAAAAGCAGAAGUAUGUUUUAGGUAACAGAGUGAAGAGCAAAGCAAUGCUAAAAUAUAUUUGUGACUGAGAUUGUACCUCACCUCAACAAAUUUAGUCCCAGAUGUGUAGGUGUGUUUUCAGAGAAGUCAGAAACCAAAAGCUGACACUACAGCUUGUUCUGUCUCCCAGUCACCAGCCCAUCCUCAGCCCUUGUUUCUGCUGCAGCCCUCUUGUCAGGUCCCCUUUGCCACUCCAGCUGCGAUAAUCUGUUUCAGUUCUACAUCCAAGACAGAUUUAUUUUUUUUCAGUUUCAACAUCUCCAGGUGAGCAUACCCCAUUUCCUUUCCUACACAUCUUUUGUCUGUCCAAAGCAGUUUUCAUUCAGGGAUUGGAAAGCAUUUCUCUCAGCAUACGGGUGUCCUCAGUGCUACAAAAAUGCAACAGUGAGAGCCUUUCACCUCCCAUUGGCUUUUUCUCCUAAAUGCUGAUAACAUUUAUUUGUUGUCCUAGAGCAAUGUACAUAUUUUUUGAGAUGAAUUGGGGGUGAGAAAACUAUUGAAUUCCUCUUUCAUCAGUCCCUGCUCUGCACUGCUGUCACAAUCAGAUGGUCACGGUGCCAAGUUCAUUCUCUCCCUCCCUAUGACACACUUGGACCCAAUAUUCCCAAGUUUUCUGGAGGAAAGGUUUAGUAAAUAGGGAAUCUUCUCUCCCUUAGCCAAACCCAUAGAAGCCAUUUUAGGAGCAGGUAAGGAGGGUGGCAAAAAUCAUUGGACUUGAUUCACUGUUCCCAGGGAAGUCCAUCUGAUUCUGUGAACACACAGAUACUGAUGUUAUCAGUGACAAAUGAAGGCUGGUAAUAACAACUAAAAUUGCAUUCAGUACUGUUUUGCUCAGGUGCAGUGGAUUUUAUCUUCCUAAAACAAUUGCAAAUGACUCUCUUUAAUUAAGUGAUUAAAAAAGACCUGGUAAUAACAUGAAGCUGUGUGCAGCAUGUGCUGUGUUCAGAGUGCUGCCUGAAAUCACAAGAAAAGUUCAGUUCAAGACAAAUCAUAUUGAAAAAUAGUUCUGACAGCAUCAGAUACUCCUCAAAGUGUUUGAGAAGAUAUAAAUUACUUUGGACAUUGAAAAAAACCAUUGUUUUUCUCUCUUUGCAACAUAAUUUGUUACUCUCAGUACAUAAUCAAUCUAAAGGCUUGUUUGAAUUCAUAGAGAUGUGCCUUUGGUCUGCAUCAGAAAAGAUUUCUCAUUCCAAAACAUUCCCCAUUGCUCCUCCCCUGCCAGAAGGAAAAAGUGGAUAGAACAGCCUUCUCACUGCCUUCUUUCUCUUUCUCUAGCCAAUUAUUUCACAUAAACCUGAAGACAAAUGAUCUGUCUCUUUUCUCUCCUCUCCCUUCCUCCAUUUGCUUUCACUCUGGACUGUAUUUGGUACCUGAAUGACACAAGCCUUAGGAGGGUGAAGGAAACACACAGGGCUGUGGGGCUGCCUCAGACAAAGCCCUGAGUCUACUCUCAUCAUUGGUGCAGAGUCCUUGCACCACAUGUGCUCCAAAAGAAAAUUAGCUUUGGGAGUGGAAAUGCCACAGUUGUGUCAAAAUGGUGCUGCAGUGGGGCUAGGAAGCUGUGCUCACUGGGACAGGGAUUUUUAUCUCACGGAUUUGCUCCUUCUCUGACACCAACAAUUGUCUCUUGAGUUUCAACAAGGCUGCCCCUGCAGGGAAUUUCCAGUGUUGGAAUACCAAUCUUUGUCGGUAUGCAAAUGUCUUAAGUGGUCACGAUCUUGAUUACUGCAAAUGUAUAUACAUAUAAAAUAAGUAUAAAUUCACACACAUAUCUAUGUACACUUUUAGGUACAUACAUAUGUAUAUACUCACAUCUUCACACACAUGUGCAUCCUCACAUCCUCCCUGUCAGCUGUGGUGGCACAAGUAAACCAACUUUAUGACCAGUGAGACAAUUUAACCAUAGAUAACAUGAACAGAGGCAUAACCUGAUGAAGUGGAACAAGGAACAAAGGUAAAUUUUCAAAUUUGAGAACAUCUUACUGCACUUAGUAUAUUAGACAGGCAUUCUGUUCCACCAUCUCUUCCAUAAUGCAGCUAAGUCUCUCAUCGAUUUGUACUUGGAAAUGUCAGAGUUCAUUUAAAUAAUGAUAUAGAAGGGAGAAAAAACUUCACAGAGAUGGGAUUUAAAAGCAUUUACAAGAUGGAAUGAAGGAGAGGGUGUCAGUCAACAGGAUCUUCUACAGGGAACUGUAAUUCCUGUUCAAGCGACACCUCCUAUAACUGUGAAAAGAGACUUUACAGAGGGAAAGCGCUUCUACAGUGCAGAAAAUCAGCUUUUAAAAUUGAAUCUAAGAAGUUAAAUGUUUUGGUCUGGGAAAGUUCUUUGGUAAUGUUUGAGGUUUUCCUGGCCUUUACUUGCCUAAGGCAAACUUUAACUGGAAUAAGCACCAACUGUGUAUACAUGCAUCACCAUAUAGUAUGAAAUAAAAGCCUCUUUUUAUCCUUUCAUUUUUGCUUGUGGAUUAAACAUUUAUGAAAAUUAUACUACUUGAUCUGAGGUAUGAUUUGUGUCUUGUUUCAUGAAAGAGACUGCAGCUCAAUUCAUGCUCCAUAAAGCUGCCAGAUUUGUU